GAGAAGAGUCCCUUGCAAAGGAAAGGAGUACUUUAGAAACCAGAUAAAAUGACCAGAUAGAGGAAGCCUAAUGGGGGGGGUUCUGUGUUGUCCCUGUCUGCUGUACACAGGCACAUCCAGGCAGCACCUGCUGAAUGAAGACACCACUGAGAUCUCAGAAGUGUCACAUGGACAAAGGCAGCAAGAAUUUUUUCCUUUUUCAGCCUCUGCAACAAAUUGAGAGUCUCAGGUGGUACUGAGCAGAUAAAUAAGGAUAAAUGAAGCUGUUAAAUGCCCACUUUGCUGGAGAAGUUAGUGGACAAGAAUGUCUGAACAUAUCCUGGCUUGCAGCCUGGGAAGUGCCGUGAGCUAAAUUAUUGUGUCACAGCCCAGACAGAAAACAACAACAAAUCAAGGCUUACUCUGGCAAAUCUCAACAUGGAAAUAGGAAGUUGGGAAAAUUUCAUCUACAUUUCUGGGCAGCACUUGGCAAGAAGACAGAGUGAGGCAGCAGACAGAGGAAAGAGUAACUCAGGAAGAGCUCCAGGUCCUUGUGCACCCAUGGCUGCACCCAGGUCCACUGAAGGGUGUCCUUUAUGGAGAAACACUCUGUAAAAGGCUGUGCUUGAUGUAAAUCACUGUGACACAGAUUGGCAGCAAGCUUGUGUCUGGAGAAAGGACUGAA